rnacentral:rRNA from 1 species
AGAGUUUGAUCAUGGCUCAGAUUGAACGCUGGCGGCAGGCCUAACACAUGCAAGUCGAACGGUAACAGAAAGCAGCUUGCUGCUUUGCUGACGAGUGGCGGACGGGUGAGUAAUGUCUGGGAAACUGCCUGAUGGAGGGGGAUAACUACUGGAAACGGUAGCUAAUACCGCAUAACGUCGCAAGACCAAAGAGGGGGACCUUCGGGCCUCUUGCCAUCGGAUGUGCCCAGAUGGGAUUAGCUAGUAGGUGGGGUAAAGGCUCACCUAGGCGACGAUCCCUAGCUGGUCUGAGAGGAUGACCAGCCACACUGGAACUGAGACACGGUCCAGACUCCUACGGGAGGCAGCAGUGGGGAAUAUUGCACAAUGGGCGCAAGCCUGAUGCAGCCAUGCCGCGUGUAUGAAGAAGGCCUUCGGGUUGUAAAGUACUUUCAGCGGGGAGGAAGGGAGUAAAGUUAAUACCUUUGCUCAUUGACGUUACCCGCAGAAGAAGCACCGGCUAACUCCGUGCCAGCAGCCGCGGUAAUACGGAGGGUGCAAGCGUUAAUCGGAAUUACUGGGCGUAAAGCGCACGCAGGCGGUUUGUUAAGUCAGAUGUGAAAUCCCCGGGCUCAACCUGGGAACUGCAUCUGAUACUGGCAAGCUUGAGUCUCGUAGAGGGGGGUAGAAUUCCAGGUGUAGCGGUGAAAUGCGUAGAGAUCUGGAGGAAUACCGGUGGCGAAGGCGGCCCCCUGGACGAAGACUGACGCUCAGGUGCGAAAGCGUGGGGAGCAAACAGGAUUAGAUACCCUGGUAGUCCACGCCGUAAACGAUGUCGACUUGGAGGUUGUGCCCUUGAGGCGUGGCUUCCGGAGCUAACGCGUUAAGUCGACCGCCUGGGGAGUACGGCCGCAAGGUUAAAACUCAAAUGAAUUGACGGGGGCCCGCACAAGCGGUGGAGCAUGUGGUUUAAUUCGAUGCAACGCGAAGAACCUUACCUGGUCUUGACAUCCACGGAAGUUUUCAGAGAUGAGAAUGUGCCUUCGGGAACCGUGAGACAGGUGCUGCAUGGCUGUCGUCAGCUCGUGUUGUGAAAUGUUGGGUUAAGUCCCGCAACGAGCGCAACCCUUAUCCUUUGUUGCCAGCGGUCCGGCCGGGAACUCAAAGGAGACUGCCAGUGAUAAACUGGAGGAAGGUGGGGAUGACGUCAAGUCAUCAUGGCCCUUACGACCAGGGCUACACACGUGCUACAAUGGCGCAUACAAAGAGAAGCGAUCUCGCGAGAGCAAGCGGACCUCAUAAAGUGCGUCGUAGUCCGGAUUGGAGUCUGCAACUCGACUCCAUGAAGUCGGAAUCGCUAGUAAUCGUGGAUCAGAAUGCCACGGUGAAUACGUUCCCGGGCCUUGUACACACCGCCCGUCACACCAUGGGAGUGGGUUGCAAAAGAAGUAGGUAGCUUAACCUUCGGGAGGGCGCUUACCACUUUGUGAUUCAUGACUGGGGUGAAGUCGUAACAAGGUAACCGUAGGGGAACCUGCGGUUG